AGGGGAGGGAAGCACACUCUGUAAACAGGAAUAGGUGAUUCACCGGUCACUGAGCUAGUAAGCUAAAGUUAGCUAGUUAGUCACAGAAAUAUCUGCCAAUCUGCUCGGUGGAGUGUUCCAGGCCUGGAGUGGCAUGCUGGAACUUCCAGAGUCUUGUAGAGCUGAAGCAGUGUGAUGUGGUCCAGGUAUUUAUCAAACACACGUAUACACACUUACUCAUUCACUCACUCUGUUAUGUUGUAUAAUUAUGUGCAUACACUGGGUCUAUCAAGACUGACAAAGCAGAGAUGGGUGUCUGCUUUGUCAACACACACACACUCACACAAAUUAUCCACAAUGUAAAUAAGUUGUAAAUACUUGUUUAUCUACUCCUUCAUAUCCAUUCUCAAUAUCUACUGUACAUAAUUACUCUAAAUACCUCUCAAAUCAAACUGUGAUUGAUUGUAGACUAAUAUUGUAAAAGACGCAAGGGGAAACCCUACUUCAAGUCUCAGAGCGAGUGACGUCACUGAUCGAAACGCUAUUAGCGCGCACCACCGCUAACUAACUAGCCAUGUGUGUACAGUUUUAGGAAAUUCUGUGUGCUUUUUUCUGAGUUGAAAAACAUGCCUCCCACACACACAUGUAACCGAUGUGAAAUGGCUAGUUAGUUAGCGGUGGUGCGCGCUUAUAGCGUUUCAAUCAGUGACGUCACUCGCUCUGAGACUUGAAGUAGGGUUUCCCCUUGCGUUGCAAGGGCCGCGGCUUUUGUGGCGCGAUGGGUAAUGAUGCUUUGUGGGUGUCAG
rnacentral:lncRNA from 1 species